rnacentral:lncRNA from 1 species
GGAAAGUUGAAAGGGAGAGGAAAGGGAGAGAAAACCUUCAGACCAUAAUGUAGAUCUAACUCUCUUUCAAACUAUUAUGACUGCAGUCUGCUGACUGCUUUGAGGUCUCUUCAAACAUCAAUAUAAAUGUCCAAAUGUGGAGGGGGAGGCCGUGGGGGAGGUCCAAGAGGCCCCCAGGGCAAAGGAGGUGGAUCCUGUCUCAGCAUUGGCAGUGGAGGGCCUCCCAUGGAGUGGGGCAUGAAGGGAGGUCCUGGAAAAGGAGGGGGACCCCUUGCAGCCAUAUUAACCUUGCCCUCCUCUGUCCACCCAGCAGGGAAUGAGCUUCCAGAGCUGCUGUUCCUCAGGGGAGCUGCACCAGGUCCUGGAUCUCUCUGUGGAGGGGCGUCCACAUCAGGCCUUCCCGGCACCAGUUUCUUAUGUUUCUGGGAUAUUUCCAGUCUAUGUUUCAAAUACUCCAUUGGGUUUCAAUUCCAUCACAGUAGUGCUUGCUGAACAGCCCUGGACUUGACCAAGCAGCAU